rnacentral:lncRNA from 1 species
AUGCCUGAAAGCCCCACUCCUUUGUUGGGGAGAGACAUUCUAGCAAAAGCAGGGGCCAUUAUACACCCGAACAUAGGAGAAGGAACACCCGUUUUUUGUCUCCUGCUUGAGGAAGGAAUUAAUCCUGAAGUCUGGGCAACAGAAGGACAAUAUGGACGAGUGAAGAAUGCCUGUCCCGUUCAAGUUAAACUAAAGGAUUCCGCCUCCUUUCCCUACCAAAGGCAGUACCCCCUUAGACCCGAGGCCCCACAAGGACUCCAAAGGAUUGUUAAGGACCUAAAAGCCCAAGGCCUAGUAAAACCAUGCCCACGCAGCAAUAUGGAGAGAAAGAGAAGGGAGCACCUAUCAAAUAUCAGGAAGCCAUUAGGAGAUUACUACUGGCUGCACAGAAACCUAAAGAGGCAGAGCCUUACACUGCCGGGGUCAUCAGAAAGGAAAGGGAAGGGAAACAGAAGGGAACCGCCAGCGGAUAUUGAAGCCAAAAGAUCCACCAGGCAGGACCCUCCAUUAGAAAUGCUUAUACAAGGACCCCUAGAAUGGAGUAAUCCCCUCCAGGAAACCAAGCCCCAGCACUCAGCAGGAGAAAUAGAAUGGGGAAUCUCACGAGGACAUAGUUUCCUCCCUUCAGGAUGGCUAGCCACAGAAGAAGGAAGAAUACUUCUGCGUGCAGCUAACCAAUGGAAAUUAUUUAAAACCCUUCGCCAGACCUUUCACUUAAACAUUGAUAGCACCCAUCAGAUGGCCAAAUCAUUAUUUACUGGACCAGGCCUUUUCAAAACUAUCAAUCAGAUAGUCAGGGCCUGUGAAGUGUGCCAAAGAAAUAAUCCCCUGCCUUAUCACCAAGCUCCUUCAGGAGAACAAAGAACAGGCCAUUACCCAGGAGAAGACUGGCAACUAGAUUUUACCCACAUGCCCAAAUCUCAGGGAUUUCAGUAUCUACUAGUUUGGGAGGAUACUUUCACUGGUUGGGCGGGGGCCUUCCCCUGUAGGAUAGAAAAGGCCCAAGAGGUAAUAAAGGCACUAAUUCAUGAAAUAAUUCUCAGAUUCAGACUUCCCUAA